rnacentral:rRNA from 1 species
AGUGAACGCUGGCGGUAGGCCUAACACAUGCAAGUCGAACGGCAGCACAGGAGAGCUUGCUCUCUGGGUGGCGAGUGGCGGACGGGUGAGGAAUACAUCGGAAUCUACUCUGUCGUGGGGGAUAACGUAGGGAAACUUACGCUAAUACCGCAUACGACCUACGGGUGAAAGCAGGGGAUCUUCGGACCUUGCGCGAUUGAAUGAGCCGAUGUCGGAUUAGCUAGUUGGCGGGGUAAAGGCCCACCAAGGCGACGAUCCGUAGCUGGUCUGCGAGGAUGAUAAGCCACACUGGAACUGAGACACAGUCCAGACCCCUACGGGAGGCAGCAGUGGGGAAUAUGGGACAAUGGGCGCAAGCCUGAUCCAGCCAUACCGCGUGGGUGAAGAAGGCCUUCGGGUUUUAAAGCCCUUUUGUUGGGAAAGAAAUCCAGCUGGCUAAUACCCGGUUGGGAUGACGGUACCCAAAGAAUAAGCACCGGCUAACUUCGUGCCAGCCGCCGCCGUAA